CAGACCGGGACGGGCGGCGCUGAUUGGUGCAGUGAGUGAGUCUCUGGCUUUAUUUAGACCACCUUUUCUUGAUGACUGUACUUCAUGAGAGUUGAGGGCUAGGGGCAGGAGGCAGCCUGCCCCCGGGGGGAAGGAUGACAGAUGGGAAGUUCUGCUUCUGGGGCUUUGUAUGGACCAGCUUUGCGCAUCCUCCGACCGUGCUUUGAGAACGAGCACCACCAAGUGUGGAUCGUACUUCUGAGAAACUCCAGGGAAGAACAAGAGCAACCCUCAGAAGGACUGGGAAGGCUUGGAGACCAGCCGCAGCAAGCUGUAGUCCCGGCCCUGCUUUCCAUCUGCUCUGACCGUGGACGCCAGUUUCCAAGGCGAGACUGCCCUUCUGGUUGGGGAUCAGAUCCUGUCAUUGUUCUUAGGCGUUUCAACUUUAACUCCAGCCACACAAGGCAACCUUGUAGACACUCUAGUCAAAGCCAGAAGAUACUUUGAAAUCAUUUGGUCCAAACCCCCAAACUCAGACGAGAACGGCAAAGCCUAGAGAUUAACCGACUUUCCCAAGGACAUAGGAAGCUCAGGGCAGACCUGGGAUUCCCUGGGACAAGUUCCGACUGGCAUAUGGGAUGAGGAUGAGAUCAUCUGUGCUGGACCCAUCAGGCGCUCCGACUCAGGCAAAAUAGGACAAGGUCCCCGAAGGCCAAAGUGGCAGCUCUCCCAAGGUGUUCCUUCUGGGCAAGUGGGGGACACAGCCCAGCAGAGAAGCCCUGUGAGUGCCCUUCCAGCCAGGAAGAGUGUCUCUUCCAGCCAGGAACCCGGAUGCUUUCAGCUUGUAGGUUUCCGAGGGCCCUGCAAUCACUCUGCCUAAUUAUAGACUAAGUCUGCAGCUUCGUGCAAUGAAAGGGGUGAGGCUGCAGACAUGUAACUUUGCAGGAUCAGUCAGUAACUUUGUAGUAUGUAUUGGAAGGACAGAGGACAGAUAGAGAAGAAGGGAUCCGACCAAGAACAAUGACCUACAUUAUUCAUAUGAGUUGCCCCUUUGGUUCUCAUGUAGGAAGUGUUUUUAUAUUGUAGAAUCUGACUGCCUUUCUUUCUGGCUUCUUCUCUUGAGCUCUGCCAUCUUUUAGAAAGAUUUAUCUUCCAUGGCAACUCAGUCCACCAACCCCAUACUCAGUUUAAUGAGCCUCCCCGCUCCCGCCCUGUCUCCAACAUCUCUAUGGCCUCUCCACUCCAGAACU